rnacentral:ncRNA from 2 species
AUUUAAAAAUAAUAUUGUGCCCAUAUAAAUCUCAGGAUAUGGCUGAGAAGUUUCUACCAAGUGACCGUAAAUCACUUGACUAUGGAUGAAAGUGUACCUAGG